GAAAUGAAGAUUACCUGCAUCACUCACUUACUAGUACUGUCACAGCCAGGCACGUGACUACAAUACAGCUAGCUUAAAACCCAAAGGACUUGGCGGUGUCCCAAACCCACCUAGAGGAGCCUGUUCUGUAACCGAUAAUCCCCGUUAAACCUCACCACUUCUGGCCAUCCCCGUCUAUAUACCGCCGUCGUCAGCUCACCCUGUGAAGGUAAUAAAAGUAAGCAAAAAGAACUAACUUCCACACGUCAGGUCGAGGUGUAGCAAAUGAAGUGGAUAGAAAUGGGCUACAUUUUCUAUAAAGAAAACACGAAUGGUAAACUGAAAAAUUACCUAAAGGCGGAUUUAGCAGUAAGAAAAGAUUAGAGAACUUCUCUGAAACUGGCUCUGGGACGCGCACACACCGCCGGUUCACCCUCAAAAAAAGAGAAGUCACCCUAAAACUUUGUGUUUUUUUUUUAGAAGUUUCCUUUUUUCGGGGGGGUGGGGGGGCAUAUGAGGAAA
rnacentral:rRNA from 1 species